rnacentral:rRNA from 1 species
AGGACGAACGCUGGCGGCGUGCUUAACACAUGCAAGUCGAGCGGUAAGGCCUUUCGGGGUACACGAGCGGCGAACGGGUGAGUAACACGUGGGUGAUCUGCCCUGCACUUCGGGAUAAGCCUGGGAAACUGGGUCUAAUACCGGAUAUGACCUCCUAUCGCAUGGUGGGUGGUGGAAAGAUUUAUCGGUGCAGGAUGGGCCCGCGGCCUAUCAGCUUGUUGGUGGGGUAAUGGCCUACCAAGGCGACGACGGGUAGCCGACCUGAGAGGGUGACCGGCCACACUGGGACUGAGACACGGCCCAGACUCCUACGGGAGGCAGCAGUGGGGAAUAUUGCACAAUGGGCGAAAGCCUGAUGCAGCGACGCCGCGUGAGGAUGACGGCCUUCGGGUUGUAAACCUCUUUCAGCAGGACGAAGCGCAAGUGACGUACCUGCAGAAGAAGCACCGGACUAACUACGUGCCAGCAGCCGAC